CAUCUUCUCGCGCUCGAGCUCGGUCGGCUCGCUAAGCAGCCUGGACGGCGCCAACGUCGCCGGCGAGCAGGGCUCCGUGGCCAGCGAGUACAGCCGACAGGUCAGCGGCGCCGUCUCGCCCAGCGACCUGCCCGACUCGCCCAGCCAGAUGCCGGGCACGCCACAGCCGCACCGCAAGCCGGCCAAGCCCGACCCGCGCUCCAAGCCCGCCCAGUCGGCGUCACCCAAAGCCGCUCCCUCGGACGUGUUCGCCGAGGAGCCGCGCCAGUUCCACCAGGAGGGCACGCCGCUCGAGUUCUCGCGCGCCACCAGCCUCAGCUCGCUGACGCUGGACGAGCCGGUGCCGGCGCCGGACGAGCCCC